UACGUAGGGUGCGAGCGUUAAUCGGAAUUACUGGGCGUAAAGCGUGCGCAGGCGGUUCGUUGUGUCGGUGGGGAAAGCCCCGGGCUUAACCUGGGAAUGGCCAUGGAAACUGGCGAACUGGAGUGUGGCAGAGGGGGGUGGAAUUCCGCGUGUAGCAGUGAAAUGCGUAGAGAUGCGGGGGAACACCGAUGGCGAAGGCGGCGAGCUGGUCCAUUACUGACGCUGAGGCGCGACAGCGUGGGGAGCAAACAGG
rnacentral:rRNA from 1 species